rnacentral:sRNA from 2 species
AGUUUAAAGACGCUGAAUCAAUUUGAGCGGGAGAACCAAUUUUUGGGGUGAAUCUUGUUUUUAUAAACAAGUAGGGUUAAUUUCUUCGACCCGAAUCCGUCAGCUAAUCUCGUAAGCGUUGAAGGGAGGUUUC